rnacentral:rRNA from 1 species
CCUACGGGAGGCAGCAGUGGGGAAUAUUGCACAAUGGGCGCAAGCCUGAUGCAGCCAUGCCGCGUGUGUGAAGAAGGCCUUCGGGUUGUAAAGCACUUUCAACGGGGAGGAAGGCGGUGAGGUUAAUAACCUCAUCGAUUGACGUUACCCGCAGAAGAAGCACCGGCUAACUCCGUGCCAGCAGCCGCGGUAAUACGGAGGGUGCAAGCGUUAAUCGGAAUUACUGGGCGUAAAGCGCACGCAGGCGGUCUGUCAAGUCGGAUGUGAAAUCCCCGGGCUCAACCUGGGAACUGCAUUCGGAACUGGCAGGCUAGAGUCUUGUAGAGGGGGGUAGAAUUCCAGGUGUAGCGGUGAAAUGCGUAGAGAUCUGGAGGAAUACCGGUGGCGAAGGCGGCCCCCUGGACAAAGACUGACGCUCAGGUGCGAAAGCGUGGGGAGCAAACAGGAUUAGAUACCCGGGUAGUC